AUUGAACGCUGGCGGCAGGCCUAACACAUGCAAGUCGAGCGAGCGUCGGACGCGUUUGUAAUGUCUUUUAAACUGCCUGAUGUAGGGGGUUAUCUCCUGUAACCGGUAUCUAAUCCCCCAUCCCAUCAGAUUUGCCCAGAUGUGAUUAGCUCGUAGGUGUGGUAACGGCGCACCUGCGCGACGAUCCCUAGCUGGUCUGAGAGGAUGACCCGCCACACUGGAACUGAGACACGGGCCAGACUCCUACGGGAGGCAGCAGUGGGGAAUAUUGCACAAUGGGCGAAAGCCUGAUGCAGCCAUGCGGCGUGUGUGAAGAAGGCCUUCGGGUUGUAAAGCACUUUCAGCGGGGAGGCGUUAGCCGAAGAAGAAGAACCGGCUAACUCCGUGCCAGCCGCCGCGGUAAUAG
rnacentral:rRNA from 1 species